rnacentral:rRNA from 2 species
GGAUGCAAUCAUACCAGCACUAAAGCACCGGAUCCCAUCAGAACUCCGAAGUUAAGUGUGCUUGGGCGAGAGUAGUACUAGGAUGGGUGACCUCUUGGGAUGUCCUCGUGUUGCAUUCC